ensembl:lncRNA
AAUGUCUGCGUGCAAGAUUUGCGCGGCGCGAGUGAUGCUGAGUGUGCCCUCAGCGCAGUAUUUAUUCUUAUUUGUUUUAUCGUCUUUACAAAUCUUGUUUGGUUUUAUUUUGGAUAAUUGCAUGUAAAAAAUAAUUUACAUUGUAAUGCAUAUGCAAAAUGUGAAUUAUUAUUCAUAUUCAAGUGUUUGUGUGAAAAUUAUUAAUGCGCAUGCAGGACAGGGAUGCGCCCUUUAGAUCACUUGAAUUUUUUCCUGAUAAUGAAUUAACUUAAAAUUGUGGUGUCUCACAUACAUGAGAAAUCUAUCUACAGACAGCUUGAAAUGUCUUUUAAACGAAUUAAUUCAAAACGAAAGCAUUAUGUAAUCUGUGAAGGUUGUAUUUCUCCACAAGCUAAACAGAACAACCCCAAAACCCCCAACCCCCUCCAGCUGAACUGAACUCUGUUUUUUGGAUGUGAGGAACGGUGUGUUGUCAUGUUACUGGGUUGAAACAUGCCUGCACUCACAGCAGCCCUACUCUUUUUAUUCAUUAUUUUCCCGCAGCCAAUAUUAUUGUUUUCACAAGACCAUAAUAAUAACAAAUUAUCAAUUGAUAAUUUAUCAUUAUUUUACGAAAAUCAUUGUUAUUUGUGAACGUAGUGUUUGCAGAAAAGGCUUUAAGACCAAGCGGAGUCCUCCGUCAGCUGCUCCCGCUUCACAGCGAGCGACUCGCGCUAACUGCACCAGCUUCAAAGUCCGCAAGUUUUGAUUUAACUAAAUCAAUUUGAGCGAAUACACUUUACUGAUCAUGAGCCCAACAUUUAGCAAGACAGAAAAACAUUCAGUCUACCUGAAGGAAGAUGUAUUUCAUUGUAAGUUAAUGCUGUUAAAUAGAGAGUUAAAUGGAGAGAGAGAGAGAGCGAGAGAGAGAGAAAUAAAAAAAAACGUGUUGGCUAUUCCUAAACUUGGAGCUCAUUAUAUUGAAGUACAAAUCCAAACACCAGAAGCAACCUACACUCUCAGUGUUCUUUCAUUGAAAAGUAUGUUUUUUGUUUAUUCACAGGCUAUAUGAUUGAAAUAAUAUUUUAGUUCAAAACUUUAAGUGCCAUUGUUUAAAAAAAAAAUGCUUUAUUGACUAACAUUUCAUAGACCUUCAGUUGUUAUGCUUUAAAAACCCAUGCCAUUUGUAAUUUCACAGUAUUUUCACCUCCUAAAUUACUACCCCAAUUCUAUAAUGGUAAAAUUUACUCAUGCCGAUGGCUUUUUUAUAACAUUAUUUUUUUUUUUUUUUUUUUUUAUUAGAAUAAUUGUAGCGUACAUAAAUUGUUGAAGCAAAACAAAUAUGAUAACUUUUUUUUAUAGGCAGAUAUAGGCCUAUAUUAUUAAAAAUAUAUUACCAUUACAAAUAUUUGGAUCAUUCCUUAUUUUGUACUUAUUUUCUUAAAGGAUAAACACUUAUUUUAUACAAGAAUAAACAUUAUAAAUAAAAAAUAAAAGAAAGAAUC